CCUACGGGAGGCAGCAGUGGGGAAUCUUGCACAAUGGAGGAAACUCUGAUGCAGCGAUGCCGCGUGAGUGAAGAAGGCCUUCGGGUCGUAAAGCUCUUUUAUGGGGGAAGAUGAUGACGGUACCCCAUGAAUAAGCACCGGCUAACUACGUGCCAGCAGCCGCGGUAAUACGUAGGGUGCGAGCGUUGUUCGGAAUUACUGGGCGUAAAGGGCGUGCAGGCGGAUUGGCAAGCCGGAGGUGAAAGCCCGGGGCUCAACCCCGGAGGGUCUUUCGGAACUGCCAGUCUUGAGAGGGUCAGGGGCCAGCGGAAUUCCUGGUGUAGAGGUGAAAUUCGUAGAGAUCAGGAGGAACACCGGCGGCGAAAGCGGCUGGCUGGGGCCACUCUGACGCUGAGGCGCGAAAGCGUGGGGAGCAAACAGGAUUAGAUACCCUGGUAGUCCACGCCGUAAACGAUGGGCACUAAGCGUCCGACGGGUUCGACCCUGUUGGGUGCUGCAGUUAACGCGUUAAGUGCCCCGCCUGGGGAGUACGGUCGCAAGACUAAAACUCAAAGGAAUUGACGG
rnacentral:rRNA from 1 species